CUUCUCAACUCACAAGCACCAAAAACAACAGAGAAGCCUUAUCUUUACCUGUCUAUGGAAGUGGUCCAAGUGUGGCAACUGAUCCAGGAGCUGGGAUACCCAAGUGUAUUUGGUGCUAGAUGACCAUGAUAUACAGAAAAAGCAGAGCAUGAGGACCUUCAGCUACUUCCUUAGGCUGGACAAGUGGACCACCAAAGGCAGGGAAGUUGUGCCCAUCUGAAUGAAGGAUGUAUCCUCACCA